UGGGGAAUAUUGGACAAUGGGCGCAAGCCUGAUCCAGCAAUGCCGCGUGUGUGAAGAAGGCCUGCGGGUUGUAAAGCACUUUAAGCAGGGAAGAAGGCUCUGGAGUUAAUACCUUUGGAGAUUGACGUUACCUGCAGAAUAAGCACCGGCUAACUCCGUGCCAGCAGCCGCGGUAAUACGGAGGGUGCAAGCGUUAAUCGGAAUUACUGGGCGUAAAGCGCGCGUAGGCGGUUGACUAAGUCUGCUGUGAAAGCCCCGGGCUUAACCUGGGAACUGCAGUGGAUACUGGUUGGCUAGAGUAUGGUAGAGGGUAGUGGAAUUUCCGGUGUAGCAGUGAAAUGCGUAGAGAUCGGAAGGAACACCAGUGGCGAAGGCGGCUAUCUGGACCAAUACUGACGCU
rnacentral:rRNA from 1 species